rnacentral:misc_RNA from 1 species
CACCAAUCGAGCCUGGCUCGGUAUUGGGCGUCGCGGGUCCUCGACCCGCGCGCCUUAAAGUCUCACCGGCUGAGCGACCCGUCUCCAAGCGUUGUGGCAACUAUUCGCGGGAGGGACGGGCGGCGUGGCCGUUAAACACCCCAUCAAA